CCGCACAAGCGGUGGAGCAUGUGGUUUAAUUCGACGCAACGCGAAGAACCUUUGCCGUGGGCUUGACAUCCCGAUCGCACCUUAUGGAAACAUAGGGGUCAGUUCGGCUGGAUCGGUGACAGGUGCUGCAUGGCUGUCGUCAGCUCGUGUCGUGAGAUGUUGGGUUAAGUCCCGCAACGAGCGCAACCCUUGUCCUUAGUUGCCAGCAUUCAGUUGGGCACUCUAAGGAGACUGCCGGUGUCAAACCGGAGGAAGGUGGGGAUGACGUCAAGUCCUCAUGGCCCUUAUGUCCAGGGCUACACACGUGCUACAAUGGCCGGUACAAAGGGGCGCAAGACCGCGAGGUGGAGCAAAUCCCAAAAAACCGGUCUCAGUUCGGAUUGGAGUCUGCAACUCGACUCCAUGAAGUUGGAAUCGCUAGUAAUCGCGUAUCAGCAUGACGCGGUGAAUACGUUCCCGGGCCUU
rnacentral:rRNA from 1 species